rnacentral:rRNA from 2 species
GAUUAAGUGUCGUAAGGGCAUUUGGUGGAUGCCUUGGCAUGCACAGGCGAAGAAGGACGUGAUACGCUGCGAAAAGCCGUGGGGAGCUGCGAAUGAGCUUUGAUCCAUGGAUCUCCGAAUGGGGCAACCCACCUUAAAUGCUUGGAGAAUCCAAACUGAUCGCGAGAUCGGCUUGGGUUUCCAAGCAUUGUGAUAAGGUAUCUAACCUUCGAAUACAUAGGGGUUAGAAGCGAACGCAGGGAACUGAAACAUCUAAGUACCUGCAGGAAAGGACAUCAACCGAGACUCCGCAAGUAGUGGCGAGCGAACGCGGACCAGGCCAGUGGCAAUGAGGAAUAAAGCUGAACAGGUUGGAAAGCCUGGCUAUAGUGGGUGAUAGCCCCGUAAGCGUAGAACACUCAUUGUCCUUGAGUAAGGCGGGACACGUGAAAUCCUGUCUGAACAUGGGGAGACCACUCUCCAAGCCUAAGUACUCGUGCAUGACCGAUAGCGAACAAGUACCGUGAGGGAAAGGUGAAAAGCACCCCGACAAGGGGAGUGAAAUAGAACCUGAAACCGGAUGCCUACAAGCAGUCGGAGGGCGCAAGCCUGACGGCGUACCUUUUGUAUAAUGGGUCAACGACUUAGUGUAACUAGCAAGCUUAAGCCGGUAGGUGUAGGCGCAGCGAAAGCGAGUCUGAACAGGGCGUUCAGUUAGUUGCAUUAGACCCGAAACCGAGUGAUCUAGCCAUGAGCAGGCUGAAGGUUGGGUAACACCAACUGGAGGGCCGAACCCGCAUCUGUUGCAAUAGAUUGGGAUGACUUGUGGCUAGGGGUGAAAGGCCAAUCAAACUCGGAGAUAGCUGGUUCUCCGCGAAAUCUAUUUAGGUAGAGCGUCGACCGAAUACCCCAGGGGGUAGAGCACUGGAUGGGCUAUGGGGACUCACCGUCUUACUGAUCCUAACCAAACUCCGAAUACCUGGGAGUACUAGUCGGCAGACACACGGCGGGUGCUAACGUCCGUCGUGAAGAGGGCAACAACCCUGACCUCCAGCUAAGGUCCCCAAGUCAUGGCUAAGUGGGAAAGGAUGUGAGGAUCCCAAAACAACCAGGAUGUUGGCUUAGAAGCAGCCAUCAUUUAAAGAAAGCGUAACAGCUCACUGGUCUAAAUAAGGGUCUUUGCGCCGAAAAUGUAACGGGGCUAAAGCCAUGCACCGAAGCUGAGGAUGUGCAGCAAUGCACGUGGUAGCGGAGCGUUCCGUAAGCCUGUGAAGGGAGACCCGUGAGGGCUCCUGGAGGUAUCGGAAGUGCGAAUGUUGACAUGAGUAACGAUAAAGGGGGUGAGAGACCCCCUCGCCGAAAGACCAAGGGUUCCUGCUUAAAGUUAAUCUGAGCAGGGUUAGCCGGCCCCUAAGACGAGGCGGACACGCGUAGUCGAUGGGAACCACGUUAAUAUUCGUGGGCCUGGUGGUAGUGACGGAUCACGUAACUUGUUCAUUCUUAUUGGAUUGAAUGGGCGAGGAAGUGGUUCCAGGAAAUAGCUCCACCGUACAGACCGUACCCGAAACCGACACAGGUGGUCAGGUAGAGUAUACCAAGGCGCUUGAGAGAACUAUGUUGAAGGAACUCGGCAAAUUGCACGCGUAACUUCGGAAGAAGCGUGACCCCUUUGCACGCAAGUGUGAUGGGGUGGCACAGACCAGGGGGUAGCGACUGUUUAUCAAAAACACAGGGCUCUGCGAAGUCGCAAGACGACGUAUAGGGUCUGACGCCUGCCCGGUGCUGGAAGGUUAAGAGGAGAGGUGCAAGCUUUGAAUCGAAGCCCCAGUAAACGGCGGCCGUAACUAUAACGGUCCUAAGGUAGCGAAAUUCCUUGUCGGGUAAGUUCCGACCUGCACGAAUGGCGUAACGACUUCCCCGCUGUCUCCAACAUAGACUCAGUGAAAUUGAAUUCCCCGUGAAGAUGCG